UACGGGGGGGGCAAGCGUUGUUCGGAAUUACUGGGCGUAAAGGGCUCGUAGGCGGCCAACUAAGUCGGACGUGAAAUCCCUCGGCUUAACCGGGGAACUGCGUCUGAUACUGGAUGGCUUGAGUUUGGGAGAGGGAUGCGGAAUUCCAGGUGUAGCGGUGAAAUGCGUAGAUAUCUGGAGGAACACCGGUGGCGAAGGCGGCAUCCUGGGUCUUAUCUGACGCUCAUGCACGAAAGCUAGGGUAGCGAACGGG
rnacentral:rRNA from 1 species